rnacentral:rRNA from 1 species
GGGGUGGUGGAGGGGGUAGCAACGGAGGUACCCGAGGUCACUGGUGGUUUAGCUCCAGCAGCGCCGGAGGUGUAGGGGGCCGCCGCCGCGAGGGGGAGUGGAGGUGGGUUGGUGGGCCGGGGUCCUGGCUAGGCUGUUCGGUAGCGCUCGCGCGCCGCCCGAUGAGGUCGGUAGAACCUGCAGUCGCGGCUGCUUGGUCGGAGCAGAGAGAGACGGCCUGGGCGGGUUAAAGCUGGUUGUUUGGAAGAAGUAGAUAGUACCUAGGCAGCUGGCACUGGAGGGGGCUGCUAGCGUCGACCCGGUAGCGUCAGUGACGGAUGACGGAGGGCAGUUACGCUACCGAUGGUGCCCUACUGGCCGCGAGACGGUUAGUGAGGUGGCAGCGGAGAAGAGGUCACCUGCGCCGAGGCCGCUCUCCGGCGGCUGUUCUUGGAGACCAGUGGGGUGGCCAGCACCGACGUCGUAUGUACCUGACGACUGUCUUUGAUGUACCUCCCUCCGAGCGUCUAGCAACCACGUCACGUGAGACCAGGACCACGUCUAGCAACAAAACCUCAAAAAUAAUAUUUCACAUCUUACAUCAGGUGACAACAAAGAGAACUCCAAGUUAAAUGAAGAAGAACGUCCUUCUUUUGACCACUACACGCCGAACUACGUCGCAACGCAAAAAAAGACAAAUAGCACAUCAAACCUAUCGCUCGGAGGGAGGCACGUCAGGCAACCGUGCAGGUACGUCAUGUCGCGCACACACAUACGUCGUGUGAUGCGCACCCAACGGCC